rnacentral:rRNA from 1 species
GGUUAAGCGACUAAGCGUACACGGUGGAUGCCCUGGCAGUCAGAGGCGAUGAAGGACGUGCUAAUCUGCGAAAAGCGUCGGUAAGGUGAUAUGAACCGUUACAGCCGGCGAUGUCCGAAUGGGGAAACCCAGUGUGAUUCGUCACACUAUCGUUAACUGAAUACAUAGGUUAACGAGGCGAACCGGGGGAACUGAAACAUCUAAGUACCCCGAGGAAAAGAAAUCAACCGAGAUUCCCCCAGUAGCGGCGAGCGAACGGGGAGCAGCCCAGAGUCUGAAUCAGCUUGUGUGUUAGUGGAACGGUCUGGAAAGUCCGACGGUACAGGGUGAUAGUCCCGUACACCAAAAUGCACAGGCUGUGAACUCGAAGAGUAGGGCGGGACACGUGGUAUCCUGUCUGAAUAUGGGGGGACCAUCCUCCAAGGCUAAAUACUCCUGACUGACCGAUAGUGAACCAGUACCGUGAGGGAAAGGCGAAAAGAACCCCGGCGAGGGGAGUGAAAAAGAACCUGAAACCGUGUACGUACAAGCAGUGGGAGCACCUUCGGGUGUGACUGCGUACCUUUUGUAUAAUGGGUCAGCGACUUAUAUUCUGUAGCAAGGUUAACCGUAUAGGGGAGCCGCAGGGAAACCGAGUCUUAACUGGGCGUUAAGUUGCAGGGUAUAGACCCGAAACCCGGUGAUCUAGCCAUGGGCAGGUUGAAGGUUGGGUAACACUAACUGGAGGACCGAACCGACUAAUGUUGAAAAAUUAGCGGAUGACUUGUGGCUGGGGGUGAAAGGCCAAUCAAACCGGGAGAUAGCUGGUUCUCCCCGAAAGCUAUUUAGGUAGCGCCUCGUGAAUUCAUCUUCGGGGGUAGAGCACUGUUUCGGCUAGGGGGUCAUCCCGACUUACCAACCCGAUGCAAACUACGAAUACCGAAGAAUGUUAUCACGGGAGACACACGGCGGGUGCUAACGUCCGUCGUGAAGAGGGAAACAACCCAGACCGCCAGCUAAGGUCCCAAAGUCAUGGUUAAGUGGGAAACGAUGUGGGAAGGCACAGACAGCCAGGAUGUUGGCUUAGAAGCAGCCAUCAUUUAAAGAAAGCGUAAUAGCUCACUGGUCGAGUCGGCCUGCGCGGAAGAUGUAACGGGGCUAAACCAUGCACCGAAGCUGCGGCAGCGACACUAUGUGUUGUUGGGUAGGGGAGCGUUCUGUAAGCCUGCGAAGGUGUGCUGUGAGGCAUGCUGGAGGUAUCAGAAGUGCGAAUGCUGACAUAAGUAACGAUAAAGCGGGUGAAAAGCCCGCUCGCCGGAAGACCAAGGGUUCCUGUCCAACGUUAAUCGGGGCAGGGUGAGUCGACCCCUAAGGCGAGGCCGAAAGGCGUAGUCGAUGGGAAACAGGUUAAUAUUCCUGUACUUGGUGUUACUGCGAAGGGGGGACGGAGAAGGCUAUGUUAGCCGGGCGACGGUUGUCCCGGUUUAAGCAUGUAGGCUGGUUAUCCAGGCAAAUCCGGAUAAUCAAGGCUGAGGUGUGAUGACGAGGCACUACGGUGCUGAAGUAACAAAUGCCCUGCUUCCAGGAAAAGCCUCUAAGCAUCAGGUAACAUCAAAUCGUACCCCAAACCGACACAGGUGGUCAGGUAGAGAAUACCAAGGCGCUUGAGAGAACUCGGGUGAAGGAACUAGGCAAAAUGGUGCCGUAACUUCGGGAGAAGGCACGCUGGUGUGUAGGUGAAGUCCCUGCGGAUGGAGCUGAGACCAGUCGAAGAUACCAGCUGGCUGCAACUGUUUAUUAAAAACACAGCACUGUGCAAACACGAAAGUGGACGUAUACGGUGUGACGCCUGCCCGGUGCCGGAAGGUUAAUUGAUGGGGUUAUCCGUAAGGAGAAGCUCUUGAUCGAAGCCCCGGUAAACGGCGGCCGUAACUAUAACGGUCCUAAGGUAGCGAAAUUCCUUGUCGGGUAAGUUCCGACCUGCACGAAUGGCGUAAUGAUGGCCAGGCUGUCUCCACCCGAGACUCAGUGAAAUUGAACUCGCUGUGAAGAUGCAGUGUACCCGCGGCAAGACGGAAAGACCCCGUGAACCUUUACUAUAGCUUGACACUGAACAUUGAGCCUUGAUGUGUAGGAUAGGUGGGAGGCUUUGAAGCGUGGACGCCAGUCUGCGUGGAGCCAACCUUGAAAUACCACCCUUUAAUGUUUGAUGUUCUAACGUUGGCCCCUUACCGGGGUUGCGGACAGUGUCUGGUGGGUAGUUUGACUGGGGCGGUCUCCUCCCAAAGCGUAACGGAGGAGCACGAAGGUUAGCUAAUCCUGGUCGGACAUCAGGAGGUUAGUGCAAUGGCAUAAGCUAGCUUGACUGCGAGCGUGACGGCGCGAGCAGGUGCGAAAGCAGGUCAUAGUGAUCCGGUGGUUCUGAAUGGAAGGGCCAUCGCUCAACGGAUAAAAGGUACUCCGGGGAUAACAGGCUGAUACCGCCCAAGAGUUCAUAUCGACGGCGGUGUUUGGCACCUCGAUGUCGGCUCAUCACAUCCUGGGGCUGAAGUAGGUCCCAAGGGUAUGGCUGUUCGCCAUUUAAAGUGGUACGCGAGCUGGGUUUAGAACGUCGUGAGACAGUUCGGUCCCUAUCUGCCGUGGGCGCUGGAGAAUUGAGGGGGGCUGCUCCUAGUACGAGAGGACCGGAGUGGACGCAUCACUGGUGUUCGGGUUGUCAUGCCAAUGGCACUGCCCGGUAGCUAAAUGCGGAAGAGAUAAGUGCUGAAAGCAUCUAAGCACGAAACUUGCCCCGAGAUGAGUUCUCCCUGAGACUUUAAGUCUCCUGAAGGAACGUUGAAGACGACGACGUUGAUAGGCCGGGUGUGUAAGCGCAGCGAUGCGUUGAGCUAACCGGUACUAAUGAACCGUGAGGCUUAACCUU